UUUAUUCCCGGAUAUGACCACAGCAUGCAUGUGUUGUGGUGGAAAGAUUUAUCGGUGCAGGAUGGGCCCGCGGCCUAUCAGCUUGUUGGUGGGGUAAUGGCCUACCAAGGCGACGACGGGUAGCCGACCUGAGAGGGUGACCGGCCACACUGGGACUGAGACACGGCCCAGACUCCUACGGGAGGCAGCAGUGGGGAAUAUUGCACAAUGGGCGGAAGCCUGAUGCAGCGACGCCGCGUGAGGGACGAAGGCCUUCGGGUUGUAAACCUCUUUCAGCAGGGACGAAGCGUGAGUGACGGUACCUGCAGAAGAAGCACCGGCUAACUACGUGC
rnacentral:rRNA from 1 species